UUGUCGACUGUGGGCGACGGUCAGCAGCGCCCUCUGGGAGUGGACACCGAGCGCCCUCCAGGAAAAGAAAAGGGGAAGAACCGGCAGAGCCCUGCCGGCAAUCUGGUAGGCGGGAGAGAUGGUGCCAAACGACCUUGGACCUGGAGACCAAAGAUGGCGUCUUCCCCACCCGCCCUCCCCAGGCAGAAGACAAGGCCCGCCCGGUUGGCCGGAACUAGGAACCAGAAAGCCUCCUGAGGCGUCUUGGCCUCUUGGGCAGUCUCCCGUGUUUCUCUUUAAACGGAUUAAACGUUCCUGGGUCCUGGGUUUUGCAAGUAGGGACAGUUGGCUGUGGGCCCCUGGAUUCUUCUCCACCCACUCUGCAGGUUUGCGGUGAGCUACGCAACCUCCUGCGCCCCCAUCUUAGACGCUCCUCCCAUCAGGCCACUGAUGCCCCACCUCCACCCCCACCCCGACACAGCGCUCAGCCCUGGUUUUGCCUCUGCUCCUGUAUACUUGUUUGACCUCAGGCAGCUCUCCCUUCCGGGGUCUCAGUGUCCCCGGAUCUGUCUAUGAGGGACGACAGAUCCUCAUCCGGGUUCUUGAGGCCUGAUGCAGGGUCUCUUAGUGCCUCGGCUUCAAGGAUCGUCCAACAGCAUGGCACCAGGCAGGGCUCCUCCAAGGAGCUCAGGGGGUCCGGGGUAAAAUGCCCUUUUGGUAGAAGACCAUGAAAAAAAAAAAGAAGACCAUGUGUGUGUCCACCAGGGAGUGGCUCAUGGUCUGAAGUCAGCUCUCUGGCCCUUUCAAUCCAAUAUGGAGGAAAAGUAGGUACGUUUGAAAUCUUGCCUCUCUCUAAUGCACAAAAUAAAGAAAAUUGAGGUCA